UUUUUUUUUUUGGGGAGGCGGGGGCUGAGGUGUCUUAAGUCCAGACAUAGUAGACAUAUCGGGAAAGAUUUGUAGUAACAUUUCAGACCAUUAAGCUUUUUUGUUUCUUGCUAUCAAUACUAGGAAAUAUGUCUUCAGAGGAAUUAUAAGAACUUUUUUGAAGCAUGUUAAUUUAGCAUUUGAAGCUUUACCAUUGAAGAACUAGCAACUACUAUUCAUAACAAAUUUUUAUCCUUCAACUGAGAAUCAGCUGGCUCACAUCAUUUUAACAAUCAUCCGGGAGCAUAAAUUCAGAUAAUAACUAAAAGAAACUUGCUUCUUGUCCCACCAAAUGAUGCGGCUAAAACAGGGCACCAAUCUUUUGUCCUUAAAGGGAGGGGAGAAUAUUGAAUGUUUACCAUUACAUGACAUCUAUUGUACCAUCACGAAUGAAAACUUCUAUUUGUUUUAUCUCAUUUAAACAGACAAACCAACAAGACAAGCCAAAGCCAUUGCUAUGCAGGGCAAAUUGGUCGGUAAAGGGGAUUUACUGCAGUUCCAUACCUUCCCACAACCCCCAAAUUCUCAAUAGCUUUCAAAAUCAAAACUCCUUUUGACAACGCAAGCUAUUGUAGCCCAAAACAAGUUAAAAAUUUCUCCGCAGCUUGGGAAAGUUUAGGUUUGUAUAAGUUGAAUUAUCAACGUUACCCCUUCUGAAGAACUGAAAGGCAUGGCUAUAGAUUUUAACUCUUUUACCCAGCACAUGCUUCUUUCCAUCUCUUAUUAUCUUUGAGAAUAUUUGCUGUAGAAAAGAGGUAUUCUGUGAUCGACAU
rnacentral:lncRNA from 1 species